CGGGGUGCAGCAGGCGCGAAAACUUUACAAUGCCGGCAACGGCGAUAAGGGAACCUCGAGUGCCAGGUUAUAAAUCUGGCUGUCGUGAUGCCUAAAAAGCAUUGCAUAGCAAGGGCCGGGCAAGACCGGUGCCAGCCGCCGCGGUAACACCGGCGGCUCGAGUGGUAACCGUUAUUAUUGGGUCUAAAGGGUCUGUAGCCGGCCGGAUAAGUCUCUUGGGAAAUCCAGCAGCUCAACUGUUGGGCUUCCAGGAGAUACUGUCUGGCUCGAGGCCGGGAGAGGUGAGAGGUACUUCAGGGGUAGGGGUGAAAUCUUGUAAUCCUUGAAGGACCACCAGUGGCGAAGGCGUCUCACCAGAACGGACCUGACGGCAAGGGACGAAAGCUAGGGGCACGAACCGGAUUAGAUACCCGGGUAGUCCUAGCCGUAAACGAUACUCGCUAGGUGUCGGCCACGGUGCGACCGUGGUCGGUGCCGUAGGGAAGCCGUGAAGCGAGCCACCUGGGAAGUACGGCCGCAAGGCUGAAACUUAAAGGAAUUGGCGGGGGAGCACAAGGGCGAAUUCGCGGC
rnacentral:rRNA from 1 species